ACACAAUAUCUUAUCUUUUAACAUAAUGAAAAUGAAUCUUUGCUCCUUCUUUAGCGUUUUGCUAUUACAUUUUGCAAUACUUAUUCCAAAUCGUAUGUGUUGAGAGCGGAAAUGUGGAUUAUUCUAAAGUAAAGGAAUUUAUAAGUAGGGAUGUUCAUAAAACACCUCAAGGAACAAGAUGGGCUAUUCUUCUGGCUAGUUCAAAUGGUUAUUCAAAUUAUAGGCAUCAGGCUGACGUAUGCCAUGCAUAUCAAGUCUUAAAAAAACGGUUUUGCUAUUCCCCUCACACUUAACAUCUCUAUUCGCCAUUCGGAUGACGUGUCGCGAGACGUGUAAUACAACGUGGGAGAGAGAAAGCAUAUCAUGUCAGAUGCUGCUGUAACUUAAAUUUUCUUAUUUAUAUUUUUUCUCUUUCUGUUGGAGAGAUAAAAUUGUAAGGCAAAACGUGAACAAAUUUUAGAUCUCACUUUCUGUACCUGAGCCAAGAGAGGAAAUAAGAGAAAAGUCUGAUGAAUUUUUUUGCUUGCUGAAGAAUAAUUGAAAUCAAUAUGGAUGUAGGUGUGUGCAAAAUUACUGAAUGUCAAGAUGUUGAGAUUUUAGAUGUCAUUAACAACAAAGACCAAAAAUCAGAAGUUGCUGAAGUUGCACAAUGUCGGAAAGUUGGAGUGAAAUUUAAUAAGGUAAAGCUGAAGACACAAAUCAAAACCCAAAGAAGCUUUCAUGCAUUAGUGGUCCAAGCAGCUGGAUAUGAGAAACUUAUAUUUGAUCAAAAAGAUGUUAGAAAUAUGCUUCAGUAAGAUGUGUAUGCUAAGUAGUUUGUUUUUUGCCUAAUUUAAGAUUGUGACUAACAAUCAAAUUCCUUUAUUGUAAUUCUAAACCUGAAUUGUAAACUUUGCAUCAGUUUUUAA